GCCACGGUGGUCUAGCGGUCAGAACACUAGCCUUGUGAGCCUGGGGUCCCGGGUUCAAUUCCCGGUGGUGCUC
rnacentral:tRNA from 1 species